UCGGAUGUGGUCGCGCGCAUCUGUAGCCCGAGCGGGGACAAGUCGUAGGAGGCGCGGUGGCUGCUGUCAUCGCCCGGUGGGUUGCCGAUCGGCGUCCUAUCAGAGAGUUCGGUGGCCAACGUGGGGUCCUGGAAGGGAUCCUCCGUGGGCCUUGCAGACGGGUGAACCGGGUGAGGCCCUACAGGGAGCAGCUCAAAGCCCGCGCCGGAAUCAGCUGAGGGACAGCGCCGUGAUGC
rnacentral:SRP_RNA from 1 species